rnacentral:rRNA from 1 species
AUUGAACGCUGGCGGCAGGCUUAACACAUGCAAGUCGAGCGGGGGGAGGUAGCUUGCUACCGGACCUAGCGGCGGACGGGUGAGUAAUGCUUAGGAAUCUGCCUGUUAGUGGGGGACAACAUCUCGAAAGGGAUGCUAAUACCGCAUACGUCCUACGGGAGAAAGCAGGGGAUCUUCGGACCUUGCGCUAAUAGAUGAGCCUAAGUCGGAUUAGCUAGUUGGUGGGGUAAAGGCCUACCAAGGCGACGAUCUGUAGCGGGUCUGAGAGGAUGAUCCGCCACACUGGGACUGAGACACGGCCCAGACUCCUACGGGAGGUAGCAGUGGGGAAUAUUGGACAAUGGGGGGAACCCUGAUCCAGCCAUGCCGCGUGUGUGAAGAAGGCCUUAUGGUUGUAAAGCACUUUAAGCGAGGAGGAGGCUACUUUAGUUAAUACCUAGAGAUAGUGGACGUUACUCGCAGAAUAAGCACCGGCUAACUCUGUGCCAGCAGCCGCAGUAA